AACGGACGCUGGCGGCAUGCCUAACACAUGCAAGUCGAACGAGACCUUCGGGUCUAGUGGCGCACGGGUGCGUAACGCGUGGGAACCUGCCCUUAGGUUCGGAAUAACUCCCCGAAAGGGGUGCUAAUACCGGAUAAUGUCUUCGGACCAAAGAUUUAUCGCCUUUGGAUGGGCCCGCGUUGGAUUAGCUAGUUGGUGGGGUAAAAGCCUACCAAGGCGACGAUCCAUAGCUGGUCUGAGAGGAUGAUCAGCCACACUGGGACUGAGACACGGCCCAGACUCCUACGGGAGGCAGCAGUGGGGGAUAUUGGACAAUGGGCGAAAGCCUGAUCCAGCAAUGCCGCGUGAGUGAUGAAGGCCUUAGGGUUGUAAAGCUCUUUUACCCGGGAUGAUAAUGACAGUACCGGGAGAAUAAGCUCCGGCUAACUCCGUG
rnacentral:rRNA from 1 species